GACGAACGCUGGCGGCGUGCUUAACACAUGCAAGUCGAACGAUGAAGCAAAGAAUCGAAGCUUCGGCAGAAAUUCAUUUCGGAUUAGUGGCAGACGGGUGAGUAACGCGUGAGCAACCUACCUCUUACAAAGGGAUAGCCUCGGGAAACCGGGAUUAAUACCAUAUAACAUUGUGACGAAGCAUUUCGAUGCAAUCAAAGCUACGGCGGUAAGAGAUGGGCUCGCGUCCCAUUAACCGGAUGGUGAGGUAACGGCUCACCAUAGUGACGAUGGGUAACCGGCCUGAGAGGGUGAACGGUCACACUGGAACUGAGACACGGUCCAGACUCCUACGGGAAGCAGCAGUGGGGAAUAUUGCACAAUGGAGGGAACUCUGAUGCAGCGACGCCGCGUGAGUGAUGAAGGAAUUCGUUUCGUAAAACUCUGUUCUAUGGGAAGAAAAGGACUGUACCAUAGGAGAAAGCUCCGGCUAAAUACGUG
rnacentral:rRNA from 1 species